UACAGAGGUCUCAAGCGGUGUUCGGAUUCAUUGGGCGUAAAGGGUGCGUAGGCGGCGCGGUAAGUCGGGUGUGAAAUCUUGGAGCUUAACUCCGAAACUGCAUUCGAUACUGCCGUGCUUGAGGACUGGAGAGGAGACUGGAAUUUACGGUGUAGCGGUGAAAUGCGUAGAUAUCGUAAGGAAGACCAGUGGCGAAGGCGGGUCUCUGGACAGUUCCUGACGCUGAGGCACGAAGGCCAGGGGAGCAAACGGG
rnacentral:rRNA from 1 species